CUCUUUUGGAGGUAAAAAAGUCUAAAAACCAGAAAUAAUUAUUAGUUAGUAUAAUAUUGAUGCCUUCUAGGAUAAAAUCUAUUUGGUCAUCAGGUAUUCGUGCUUCGGUCUUAAGGGUAUUUUUAACAGCUUCGCAACCUAUAUCAUGGGGAAUAAUUGUAUAUAAUGAUUGCACAUCACACGUAACUAAAAUAAGAUUUGGAUUCCAAUUAAAGUUACAUAGGAAUCUUAAGAGUGACAUUGAAUCUAUUAAAUAUGACCUCAUUAAUCUUGCUGAUGGUUGUAGGAGGAUGUCAAUAUAUUUGGAUAGGUUGCACAGGAGAGAACCAAUCCCUGAUACAAUUGGUCUACCUGGGUUUUUUUUUAUUUUAUUUUUAUUUACUUAAUCUGGC